UACGGAGGGUGCAAGCGUUAUCCGGAUUCACUGGGUUUAAAGGGAGCGUAGGCGGUGUGUCAAGUCAGGCGUGAAAGCCCCGGGCUCAACCUGGGAACAGCGCUUGAGACUGGCACGCUCGAGUUCGGGAGAGGAUGGUGGAAUUCCCAGUGUAGAGGUGAAAUUCGUAGAUAUUGGGAAGAACACCGAUGGCGAAGGCAGCCAUCUGGACCGACACUGACGCUGAGGCGCGAAAGCGUGGGGAGCAAACAGG
rnacentral:rRNA from 1 species